rnacentral:hammerhead_ribozyme from 1 species
GCACUGCUGACCAGUCCCAUACUAGGAUGAAACGGCCGUCCAGUGC